GGUGGUGAAAAGAAGAGCUGCUCAGGAAGCAGCAAGUGCAUCAACCUCUGAGCAAACGAAUGCUAAACGUACAGAGAAAGAGGAUGAAAACUAUGAAUGCUCAAGUCAAUUGUAUUCACUGCAUGUUAUUGUGCAGUGUGCCGUUACUGGUGUUAAAUAUUGUUAGAUUGUGUUUCAUAAAAAGUAACAUCAUAUGAGACAGUUCUGACAAAGUAAAUUAAAGUUUUAUUAAUUGAACUUUAGAAACCAACCCAGUAUCAGCACUAAAAUAAUUAUGAGGUAGUUCUAAACAAAAAGGAUUUAAUGAAUAGAAUGAUCAGCUCAGCCAUGUUGGUUAUCUUCGCUAAAAAGUCUAAUGGGGCACUGGGACUUGUGUUACCACGUAAACAAGUAUAACUGCUUCUUGCAUUCUAUGUUUUAGAGCUGAGCGAUCUCUACUGGAAAUGGUAACAAGGAGACAUAUGCAAGUGUAGACAUACUGACAAAGUCGCGGUGAAGCAUGCAGACACGAUGUUCUAUCCAGCAUCUGACCUGUGGCCUUAACAUUUAUUUGACUGACACUCUGUGUCAUUAGAAUGAUUAGCAUUGGUGGAAUAUCACCCUCAAGUAAGAGCUGCAUUCAUGACAGGACUGAGUACCGUAUCGGCCUGCAAUUCUGACCUCAAAAUGGGUGAAGCUAUACAGUAAGAUUGCUUCUCCCUUGCAAAUUCACUUUGAGGAAAGUUGAGCUCACAGUUUCCAAGGAGGAAGUGGAAGAGAGGCAGGGGUACAUAACUGUUAGAAAAGCUUUAAGCACUUUAAUGUGAGAAGAACUUUUAUGUGAAUAAGACACACAACUGGCAUACAAAUACAGUUUAUUCAUGGAUAUAUCAAUUCCAAAAAAGUUGCUUGUACUUUAAAUGAUUUUAUUUUUUUAAAUGUCUGUUUAUGGUGUAAACAUGUUGGUAUAUACAUUUAAUAGAAAAUGAAUCCAUGUAUUUGCAUGUGGUGAUUUCAUUUAUUUGUAUUUGUUGUUGUAUCCAUAUUUUUUUAAUAACAUGGUGCUUCUUUUCCACCCCAUCAACAUAGGUUUGACUGCUUAGUGUUGCAGUAAUUAUAAAAAAUAAAAGGAGAAAGUAAUUUGGAACAUAACAGUAUCAAGAGAAAGAACUAAACGCACAUAGAGUUACCAGUUAGGCUGGUAACAGUAGUGCUUUGGGGUCCUUCAAAAGUCAACUGGUUGCAAAUUUAGGUAAAUAGAGAUUGUUGGGCUAAUGGCUUGUUCUUGUCAAAACUGUUGUAAUGAUGAAAUAAUAAAAAUAACUUUUUGUAUGCCG